rnacentral:rRNA from 1 species
AUUGAACGCUGGCGGCAGGCCUAACACAUGCAAGUCGAACGAGUGGCGGACAGGUGAGUAAUGUCUGGGAAACUGCCUGAUGGAGGGGGAUAACUACUGGAAACGGUAUCUAAUACCGCAUACCAUCGGAUGUGCCCAGAUGGGAUUAGCUAGUAGGUGGGGUAACGGCUCACCUAGGCGACUAUCCCUAGCUGGUCUGAGAGGAUGACCAGCCACACUGGGACUGAGACACGGUCCAGACACCUACGGUAGGCAGCAGUGGGGAGUAUUGCACAAUGGGCGAAAGCCUGAUGCAGCCAUGCCGCGUGUAUGAAGAAGGCCUUCGGGUUGUAAAGUACUUUCAGCGGGGAGGCGUUACUCGCAGAAGAAGCACCGGCUAACUCCGUGCCAGCAGCCGCGGUAAUUC